rnacentral:rRNA from 1 species
GGGCGUUUCCGGAUUAUUGGGCGUAAGAGCUCGUAGGCGGUUUGUCGCGUCUGCCGUGAAAGUCCGGGGCUCAACUCCGGAUCUGCGGUGGGUACGGGCAGACUAGAGUGAUGUAGGGGAGACUGGAAUUCCUGGUGUAGCGGUGAAAUGCGCAGAUAUCAGGAGGAACACCGAUGGCGAAGGCAGGUCUCUGGGCAUUAACUGACGCUGAGGAGCGAAAGCAUGGGGAGCGAACAGGAUUAGAUACCCUGGUAGUCCAUGCCGUAAACGUUGGGCACUAGGUGUGGGGGACAUUCCACGUUUUCCGCGCCGUAGCUAACGCAUUAAGUGCCCCGCCUGGGGAGUACGGCCGCAAGGCUAAAACUCAAAGGAAUUGACGGGGGCCCGCACAAGCGGCGGAGCAUGCGGAUUAAUUCGAUGCAACGCGAAGAACCUUACCAAGGCUUGACAUGAACCGGUAAGACCUGGAAACAGGUCCCCCACUUGUGGCCGGUUUACAGGUGGUGCAUGGUUGUCGUCAGCUCGUGUCGUGAGAUGUUGGGUUAAGUCCCGCAACGAGCGCAACCCUCGUUCCAUGUUGCCAGCGCGUUAUGGCGGGGACUCAUGGGAGACUGCCGGGGUCAACUCGGAGGAAGGUGGGGACGACGUCAAAUCAUCAUGCCCCUUAUGUCUUGGGCUUCACGCAUGCUACAAUGGCCGGUACAAAGGGUUGCGAUACUGUGAGGUGGAGCUAAUCCCAAAAAGCCGGUCUCAGUUCGGAUUGGGGUCUGCAACUCGACCCCAUGAAGUCGGAGUCGCUAGUAAUCGCAGAUCAGCAACGCUGCGGUGAAUACGUUCCCGGGCCUUGUACACACCGCCCGUCAAGUCACGAAAGUUGGUAACACCCGAAGCCGGUGGCCUAACCCCUUGUGGGAGGGAGCUGUCGAAAGUGGGACUGGCGAUUGGGACUAAGUCGUAACAAGGUAACC